GACGAACGCUGGCGGCGUGCCUAAUACAUGCAAGUAGGACGCAGUUGCGAACGGGUGAGUAACGCGUAGGUAACUACCUAUUAGAGGGGGAUAACUAUUGGAAACGAUAGCUAAUACCGCAUACUAGUAGAUGGACCUGCGUUGUAUUAGCUAGUAGGGAGGGUAAUGGCCUACCUAGGCAACGAUAAAUAGCCGACUGUGGCGGGUGAUCGGCCCAACUGGGACGUGGAACAGGCCCAGAUUUCUACGGGAGGCAGCCGUAGUGAAUGUGCGGCAAUGGGGGGAACCCUGACCGAGCAACGCCGCUUGAGUGAAGAAGGUUUUUGGAUCGUAAAGCUGUGUUGUUAAGGAAGCGGUACUUAACCAGAAAGGGACGGCUAACUACGUGCCAGCAGCCGCGGUAAUAC
rnacentral:rRNA from 1 species